GGGUUUACGACCUCGAUGUUGGAUCAGGGUAUCCCAGUGGUGCAGCCGCUACUAAAGGUUCGUUUGUUCAACGAUUAAAACCCUACGUGAUCUGAGUUCAGACCGGAGCAAUCCAGGUCAGUUUCUAUCUAUAAAGAGCUUUUUCUAGUACGAAAGGACCGAAAAAGCAUGGCCUAUACAUCUCGCACGCCAUAAAUGACAAUUUAUGAUUCAAACUAAAUAAAUACUCAAUCUUCCAUCUAUCUCAAGACAAGAGA
rnacentral:rRNA from 1 species